UCCUCUUCCCAAACCCUAGCCGCACCUCUCUCCUCUCUCCUACAUGGCAUCAUAUUUGCCGAAAAUGGCAACCUCGUGGGCAAGCAUGGAUGAUACGGUCCUUUGUAAGGCUGAGAAUGGCAAGAGUAUUUAUUUCUCUGCCAUUUCUCAACCAAAACCACCGAAUCUCGACCCAAACACGGUAUUACUUCGUCUCCUUUUUACUUUUUCUGCUCUUUCUGCAUUUCACAAUGGACUGAAAUCCUUAAUUGUUUUUGUUCUUAUUCAUUUGAAAUCUUCAACCCCUAUUGGUUCGUGAAGAACUGAGGGGAUUGACCCAUUUCUUGGUCAAAUCGGACCGUUUAUUUUUUUUUCUAGUCGAAUCUCAGCCCUUGAGUGAGAUGUGAGGAACCAAUUCUGAGAAAUUUGCAUUUGUCCCACAUCGGCUAAGUUAGGGUUUUGAGGAUUUUUGGGGUUCUAUAUAAAGAACCCCCAAUUCACAUUGUUGAACAACUUGAGCAUACUGAAAUAUCAAUAUACUCACAAAAAUCGAAUUACCUAGGGUUCUACUCUUGAGACCUUUAAUUAUUCGAUUAGUAUAAAGUUUUAAAGUUUAAUUGUUUUUCUGGUGUGUGGCUGAGUGUUGGAGUGGAGGAUUGGAGCUUUCAAGUUCAAAUCUUAUCCAAGGCUGCACUUAAGAAAGGUAAUCUUCUUUCCUCUUUAUUUUUGUAGCAUUUGGUGCUGUUUCAGUUGUUUUUCUAUUGAUUAUGUGCUUAGUUUGUUGUUGAUUGUAUGGUUAGUAUGCAUUGUUAGUUUAUUUUCCUGUCUUAGUUUAAGUACAUAAUGUGGUUAUGUUUAGUUUAUGAUCUUGCUAGUUAGUUUACUGCUUUAAACUUGAUUAUGUAAGUGGAGUAGUGUAAUGAAGGUACUAUUAAUGUAUGUGUGUUGAGGGUAGCCCUGUUUAGAUUAUGUGUUAUUAAUUUAUAAGCUUGAUCAUGUAUAAAGAACAUUUAGGUAUGGAUUCUAUAUAAUACUUGUUAGUUUAAGGUUUACUUAGUUAAGACCCAGCAUGUGUUAGUUGUUUUAAUUUAAUACCACACCUGUUUAAUCUUCUGUUUAAGUAUAAUCCUUUCUGGUUGCAUUUUAUCACUAUGUGCUUCAUGACUAAAUUCCUAUUAUACUAAGAAUAUGUUAGCAGUGGUAAUGCCUAUUUUUGUUAAACUCUGUGCCCUCCAUCCAUUAGUAAAGACUGCUAUUCCAUGAUGAAUGAUCAAUGGUGAUGUAUUCCUGGUUACUUAUUCAUCUAGAUGGGGUUUAUGAUGUUUAAAAAGAACUGUGAGUCAACAUGUGGUUAGUAUAAGGUUUAUUUGGUUGGAAGAUCAGUUUUUUUUUUUUUGACAAAUAUGUUGUGUUCCUACUUAAGAUGAGUUUUUGAAACUAAAGGACCUGUCAACUGGUACUGAUAUGCUCAUGUACACGUAAGAGAUUAGUUUAAAGUAAAGACUGAAUCACCUAGAUUAGGACAUCAUUAAGUGUCCCUCAUUGAAUGUUCAAAUAAGGCUCAGAUUCAGACUCAUGAACAUGUUUUAGGCUCAAUAUGAAAGUUGUUAACUUGAGAAUAUGGUGUAUAUGUGCAAACUGUAUUACGUAUGAUGCAGUAAGUCAGUCCUCUGUGCUUGAAACAAAGUCAUCUUGCUUCUGUGUCUGCCUACAUGUCCCCUUUGCUAAUGUGAAAGUCUUUUUUAUGUGGUAUUGCUCUAUGUGAAGUUUAUUGAGUCCAAAGAAGGUAAUUCUGUGAUCUUAGUGAACAUGGUUAUCUGCUUCUUAACUGUAUUAGAUGAGGAGUGUCAUUUGCAUAAGGACCCUAGGGUUUGGUGUUUUACUGGAUGCUAUAAAUGGUCAGUUGUAUGCUUCAAUGCCAUCCCUUAUGGGAGUCUGAGUCAAUGCACCAUCUCUUGCAUAUAGUUUCUGCCUUCAAACAUUAUCUGAACAUCACUAAAAUGCAUAUUUUUCUUGGUUUAAUCCCGAAUUUGGUAAUUGCCCAACCGGUGAUUUAAAUGCUUCAUAUAAACCAUGUUAAUAAGCUAGCAUCCAUAUGUCCUCAUGCCUAAUUAAGUCUUUAUCUUGAAUAUAGCAUAAAUCACCUGCAACUUGCUAUUAUCUUCUUCUCAAAUCACUUCUGUGUCUUUUAAGAUAUCAUGGUAUGAAGAUUAAUGAGACCGAGUCCUUUUUGUGAAGUCCUAAUGGUUAUCUGUUGAAUAUAAGUCGUGUAUAUGGAUAGUGUACCAAUGUAUACCAAGUACAUACAAGCCCUGCAUACCUAAUGUAUGUAUGAACUUGUAUAUUAGGUAUAUAUAUACGGUAUACCACUUAGAAAAAUCCUGAAUUUUAGGUUCUGUGUACUAUGAAAGUAUACUUUGGGCCUGGUCAUAUUUGAAUAUCCAUGUUGGGUUUGUUAUGUUUUAAUCAUGUAUCUUGCUAUGUUUGGGCCUCCUUUGAUAUUCCUCUCCUAUGCAUUUGGGCCAAUUUGUUUGCUGUAAAGGACUAAAUUAAAAUUGAGCCUUUUGUUUUGUAUUGUUUGGUUUAGUUUAAGAUCCAUACUUCAUUUUAUACUUUCUUUGUUUAUGUAUAUGAAUCAUACACACUUAAUGAGUUUGUGUUUAGCAUAAAUAGCCUCUAAUCCUUAUCCUUUUUACGUGUCUCAUGUAAAAUAAACACUGGGCCACUCGGGCCAUUCUCUGCAAUUAAACCUGUUGGGCCAGCGGCCCAACCCUCAUCUUUGAUCGAGUCCGAAUAAGGGAAGCUAAAAUGGUUGAAGGCCCAGCUAUAGGUGAAAAUAGCUAACUGGUGGGCUUAGGUAGGCCCACCAGCCUAAACUUUCUCCUUUAUUUUUCUAUACUUGUAUAUAUAUAUAUAUAUAUGUAUUUGUAAAAACAUUUAUAAAUAUUGAAACCCCUAUGUAUGUUUAGAACUUAGGAAACGACACUUAGUAUUUUAGGAAGUCGCCUAAAUCUUUUUUUCAAAAGUCGGUUAAUAUAACUUUGCAUGAAAAUAGACACUUAAUUCAUUUUUUUCUUUUUGAUAAAUUUUAAAACUGGUUUGACAUUUCGGAUAAGGUUAAAUGGUUUUAAAAGUAAUUAAGUAGUAAAUGAUUUGGGCCCUCUGCCCCUUUUGUAGAAUUUGACAAUAAAAUAGCAAAUAUUUAAACUGUUUUGGGCCUUAAGCCGUUGCUAAGACUGAACUGCUUGUUGGGCUUUUAAAUUGGAUCUAAGUCAAAAACGGAAAAUAACUUAAGGGCUGUUUGGAUGGCGAAAUUAUUUUGAUGAAAAACAUUUCAAACACUUGAGCAAAUUCUGAAAAUUAGGAGUUGAGAACUUGGGAUUUUUGAAACAGAAACAUACCUUUUUGGACUUAAACUUAAAAGAUUUUAAGAUUGUGGGCCGAAAGCCCAAAAACUUAAGGGAUAAAAACAAAGGGAGAUUCACUUGGACUAAAUUGAGAUAAGAUGGUUUUGGGUAUGAAUAUAAGUUUGACUUAUUGAGCUUCACUGAAUUAAAAUGGACUUAAUAAAACUUUCAAUUAUAUAUAUAUAUAUAUAUAUAAUAAAAAUCUAUAAGUACUAAACUCAUUUUAUUAGGACUAAAAUAGUAGUGACUCUACUUGGGAGAAAUCCCGAGUACGUCUUAGUCCGGCAAUAAAGUGAGUUGAACACUUAUACGGAUUUUUGAAAUCAAAACCCCAUUUUCUAAAGGGACCUUUUUGCCGAAAUUUUGAGUUUUAUGAUAAAACGAAUGAUAUUUUGCGGAAAAUUAAACACUCAAGCAAGUAAAUACAUUAAUCACACAUUGAAGUUCGUAGGCCAACCGUAUUCUACAGAUCCUUAAUACUAGGGUGCUUAAAACCUUCCCUAGGGGAUCACCAGAACCCUUACCUCGAACUCUGGUCCUAAAAGGAUUUUCUCUUGCUUGAUAAACCCUUUUAAACCCGAUUUUCCUUAAAUAAAUUAGGUGGUGAUUCUAAAAUACAAAAAUCCAAUUAGAGCACUAACAACCUCUUAUUAGCUUUUAUGCGCCCGCAUAAAAGUGAACCGUAACAGUAUGUCCCUUAGUCGUUGUGGUCUUCGGAUAUUCUAACUCACCCGGUGACAUUUUUUACCCAAUACAGAUAGUCCCUCACUUUUUGGGCCCUUAAUUUCUUGAGCUCGAAAAGUCGAAGAGUUCGCUCUUUCCCCAAACUUUUCACGAGAAUCAAGACGAUACAUCUUUUCCUUCGAUCAAACGCUUCGUCAGGUUGGCAUUUAAUGCAUCCAGUCACUCAUUCAACGUCACUCUUUCAGAGACAGACGCUUCACUGACAAGGCACGCCGCGUCGUUCCCCAAGGCUAAUGAUUACUUUCACUGACUAUUUAAGCGGGUGAUGACGCUUAUAUUUCCCAUCUUUGCUCUCAUUCUUCACCUUUAUGCAAACCUAACACCUUUACCUUUUAGACCUCCUAUUUUGGAAUGUCUUCAUCGUCCACAUCUUCAUCUUCAUCUUUUGACAUUACUCUUGCAAGCAUGCGAGAGCCAAUAGGGACCACUUCGGCGGUCUCCAUCCGUCGCCGACCCUUGUCUUCUUCCACUACUCGAAUGAUACACUUGGGUUCCCUCGCAUCUGACAUCAUUCCUUCUAGUUUUAAUUUUGAGAGGGAUUUUUAUGCCAAUCUUCAGUUCGAGAUUGUGAAAGGUAUUAGUUCUUUGAUUGACGACUCCACAAUCUCCCAAGUUCACAUCGACUGUUAAUGGGGGCCUGAGGUUGAUGUAUUUCCGCCCUUUGCUAGUGCUAGCAUUACCCAACAUAUCCCGGGGAUGUCUUUGGUCUACAUUUAUCCCUUUACUAUCGAGUUUGGCCUCUCGAUCCACGAAGUUGUCGAGACCUUUUGACGCCUGUAUGGCAUUUGUCCUGAGCAACUGGCCCCCCAAACUUAGAGAGUAGUCCGCUACUUGCAGUACCUGGCGGACCGGGUUAACCUCCCUUUUACUCUCGAUUAUCUGAUCCACCUCUAUUCCCCAGGGUGCUCCGUGGGGGGAUGAUAAACCUUACUUUCCGAGGCUCCCGAGGCCUCAUCACAAGUGUCGAUAUCAUGACCGGGGAUGGUGCAACCGGUUUGUGAUGAUGCGCACUGACUGCCUUUACGAACCCGUCUUUGGCCCUCUUCCGGAGCAAUGGAACAACGCUCUAACCCCCGGUUGUACCUGAACCCUUGUCUGAUAUCUUUGACUGGGUGAUGGGCAUGCUCUGUGCCUCCAGGGGUACCGAGCGGACCUGGAGAGGUAUUUCCUCCGAUAGGUGGAAAGGAAAAAGUCAUGGUCUUCCGGCUCGAAGGGCUUUUAUCAGGAAGGCGCCUUCCCUGGAGGAGGCCUCGGCUCAUAUCGCUGAGGUGGCUGUAGAGGAUAGAAGUAGCAGGAAGCGAGAGCUUCCAGAUGAGGUAGGGGCAUCUUCCUCCGGGGGGAUCGGUUCUCGCGUAUGAACGCGUCGCCAACUCAGCGAAUGCCUGAGGAAAGAGAUGCAAAGGAAGGUCCACGUUGAGAAUGGUGAUGAAGAGGUUGUCAAGGCCAGGAGUACAAGGGCCCCUUCCACCGAGGCUGUAGUAGGGACGGGAGCCAGUGAAGGCCAACUCGGGAGCGUGGGGGGUGAUGUCCCCCAUAUUGAGGAUGCAGGCGCCGGUCCUUCUAUUCCACCUCUCCUCGCUACUAGUUCAGGCCUUGGUUUGGAGGCUUUCUUGACUCACUGGGCGAGUAUUUUUCUUCAGGGUCAGACCACCGUUUCUUCUGCCCUCAAGCUCUUUAAGAGAGCCCCUCGUUCUCCGUCUCGUGAUAUGAAAAGGCUGACAGAGUAGAACCAGCGGCUCCAGGAUGAUCUCGCCCAGCUCCGGACAGAGAAUAGAGGUCUUCGGGCUAUGAAGACUACUUUGGAGCUUCAGUGGGACGAAGCCAAGCAAGCUAUGGUGACUCGGGAGAAUGCCUUCCGAAUUCUGACUACGACUCGUCAGUUGCUGCGGGAUAGGUUGGACUGGGUGGAGGCUGAGCGUGACGCUGCUCGGGGGCAGAUACAAGCCCUUAAAACUUCCCGUGCCUGGUUCAUAGCCCAGUACCAGAGUUUGGUGCUUCACCGAAAGGCCGAGCAGCGAAGGGCCUCCUUGCUUCAGGAUCAUACCAUCAUCUACCCCGGACACAAGGUUUUACAAGGCACCGAGGAGGGAGGCUUUGAUAGAUGCGGAGGUGGAAUUGGGCGCGGCUGAGGCGUAUAUGAGCGAUCUUCAUGAUGAAACGCCCCUUCUUUCGAUGCCUCCGCUAGUUCUUACGAUAUUGAAGAUGCUUCCCCUCCUCCCCCCCCCCUCCCCCCGACUUAGCUUUGUAAGUCUUGAUCCUCUGGACAUUGGUUCAGAGGCUUUAUCUAGCAUGCCUUGGGAAGAUAACUAGCUUUCGGUGUUGCGACUUUUCGGGUUGUUUGUUUUAGUGGAUACUUCAGGGCCUGUGUGUCUCUUUAACUUUAGUUUUGAAUUUUUGUGCUUCGUUCUUUUGGAAUUUCUAAGGCCUGCGUGCCCUUUUGUAUGAGCCUAUACGCUCUCUUUGUUCCCCGUUUAAUGAUAAUCAUCAGUUUGUUUUUU